GUAUGAUGGCCCCACGAGGACUUAACUGUCUCCCUUGUCCAAUCAGUGAAACUGAUCUCCUCGUGCAGAAGCGAGGAUUCUCUCAUAAGACGAGAAGACCCUAUGGAGCUUUAAACUAAAAUCAACUAUUACCCACCUAUCCUCUAAGGGCCUAAUAAAUAGCUAAAUAUGCUUGAUUUAAGUUUUAGGUUGGGGCGACCAUGGAGAAAAAGAAAUCCUCCCUGAUGACCACAAACCAAGAGUCACUACUCUAAGUAUUAAGACGCUUAACUCUAAUUGACCCAUUUUAUGAUCAACGAACCAAGUUACCCUAGGGAUAACAGCGCAAUCCAUUUCAAGAGUCCCUAUCGACAAGUGGGUUUACGACCUCGAUGUUGGAUCAGGGCAUCCAAGUGGUGCAACCGCUACUAAUGGUUCGUUUGUUCAACGAUUAAAGCCCUACGUGAUCUGAGUUCA
rnacentral:rRNA from 1 species